GCCAGGAGUUCAAGGUUAACGAAUCAGCAACAUAUGUUAAAUAAGGUGUCUCCAAACAGAAACACACAUAAAGCAAGGUUAUGUACUGAUCAGUUGAUGAACGUAUUGUUACUGGGGGGUCCUUGUUCCCAGAGCUCCCAAGAUGGUGGCGGGCCGCUUCCAAGAUGGGGGCAAGCCUCAUGUCCUCUGACCUGGGGUUAUUGGCCUCAUGGAUUCCAAGGAAUGGAAUCUUGGGCCAUGCGGUGAGUGUUAUAGCUCUAUUAGAAGCCGUGGGUCACGGAAGAGAACUGUGGGACCCAAUGACUAGUGUUCAGCUUGAUUAGGAUGAACCCAGGCACUUAGCCAUGCAGGAACAAAGGCAGGCCUUUAGCCUGAUCGGGAGCCUCAAUGGGCGCCUCACUGAAUCAGGAGCACAGCCCACACCCUGCUGGAUCUGGAGGGAUGGAAGUCAGCGGCGGGUCUGCAAUGUGGCAAACAGCAGUGGUGGACUGCGAGCUCAGCUCAGCUCCAGCUAUAACAAACACGGACCAGAAGAGAUUGCAGUUGCAAGAUUUAAUAGAGUGAAAACAGAGCUCCCCUCCCUCUUUGGGAGGGGACCCAAAGAGAUCCACUCUCCAUCCUUCUCUACUCUGUCUGUGCUGUGGGAGGCUGACCCCAUCUGUCUAUUUCAGUGGAGCACUGGAGCCUGCAAGAACUGAUUGUAUGCAUCUCCUCCUAACCCCGUGUUUGGUGACUGUGGUAGGAAUAUUUACACCAUGGACAUUGGCAAAUACUACAAGUAAGCUUGCAUGCAUACAUACAUGUCUCAGAACUUGUUGUUAAAUAUUUAUUUAACAGCCGACCACUGGGGCAACAUGAAUAUAUUCCUUGCCUCUGGCUUCUGCUUGGGUUUGGUCACUGGGUGGUACUUGCAAGGAAUUGAAGAGAGCAUGGUAAGAGUAUCCACUCUCCUGGCCUCCCUAACACAUUCUCAGAUUGGCUGAAUCCCUCUCCAAAGGUUUCAACCGUGGUCAAGCUUACUAAGACUUUCAUGUUUGUGUGCCUUUCCCCUUGUUUUAAAUAUCUCAGUUACCACUGUAUUGUGCCCUUGCAGUGAUGCUUAAAAUAAAAUGGACUCAGAGUUUGUCUUUAGGAGAAGUGAGAAAAUGGGGAACUGGCUUAAUAACCAACAAGGGGAGUGGGGUGGGGAGCAACAUCUUCCUUUUUAUUAACCUCUCAGAGAUCUAGUAUUUCCUUUCCUUAUGCAUAUAGGCUAAAAAUAAAGAAAAUCACAGUAGUAUUAGCAGUACAUGCAACUCCGUUACUAAUGCUUUCAUAACACAGAGUUGCUGCAGAUAUUUCAAGGGUGAGGGGCAGAGAUGGUCUUGGAUGGAAAGGCUCCCCAUGGGGAAGAGGGAGGGGGCAACACUAAAGAGAAAAGAAAAGUGAUUGAGGUCAGACAUGGUGGCUCAUGCCCGUAAUCCCAGCACUUUGGGAAGCUGAAACAGGAUGAUCACCUGAGGUCAGGAGUUCGAGACCAGCCUGGCCAACAUGGUGAAACCCCGUCUCUACUAAAAAUUCAAAAAAAAUUAGCUGGGCGUGGUGGUGCAUGCUUGUAAUCCAAGCUACUUGGGAGGCUGAGGUACGAGAAUCGUUCGAACCCAGGAGGUGGAGGUUGUACUGAGCCGAGAUAGCACCACUGCACUCCAACCUGGGCGACAGAGUGAGACUCUAUCUCAAAAGCAAACAAACAAAUAAACAAAAACAAAAUAAAACCCAAAAUGUGGUUGAGUUCCUGGGACUAGGGCAGGGAAGACAAGAAGAACAUGGAAGCUGGGCCUGAGAACUGACUAUGGGAACUCCACAGGAAAAAAAAGCUUUGGUGCCCUUUAACCCAGUGAUCCUGCUUCUGGGAAGCUAUCCUAGGAAAAUAGCUCAAAAGGAAAGCUAUCUAAACCCUUGACUCUUUCCAGCCUGUCUGGUUUGCGGGUACAGAUGAGAACCCAUUAACAUUGAUGCCAGUAGACCACACACUCACUGGGUCAACUACAUAACUGGAGGAACUCAAGUCCCUGCCUCAGAGUCACUCCAUCAGUUCUUGGAGGUCUCUGCCAGUGUCUUGCAUGUGGGAAGGACCAAGUUUCCUUCUGCCCUGCUCCAGCCUGCUUGUGGGGUCCUCAGCCCAUAACCCAUUGGAGGGUUGCCCCUCACUCUGCCUCUGCUGCCCCACUUGCAUGAAAAUGCUGCUUCUGGGCCAUUUUUGUAUUUCCCUGACCGCUGGCCACUGUGGUUUUCACGUCUGGACCAGGAAGUGACCCAUCUUUUCCCCCAGGCCUCGUAGGACCUUUCCUCAAAACGACAACUACUCCUGCCCAUUCACUUCUCUCUAAAAAUGAUGAGGACCACUGUCUCAGGUCAACUGUAGAACAAACCCAGCAUCUUCCAUUUUUCUUGCUGCCCCCAUCUCUCUUCCCAUUAGGCCGGAACCAGCCCACCUCAUUGCAUAUCAUCUUGUGGAAAGAGGUGCCUGAAAAAUUCUCUUAGGCUCCCAGGCUCUGUUC
ensembl:lncRNA